rnacentral:rRNA from 1 species
GACGAACGCUGGCGGCGUGCUUAACACAUGCAAGUCGAACGGAAAGGCCCUGCUUUUGUGGGGUGCUCGAGUGGCGAACGGGUGAGUAACACGUGAGUAACCUGCCCUUGACUUUGGGAUAACUUCAGGAAACUGGGGCUAAUACCGGAUAGGAGCUCCUGCUGCAUGGUGGGGGUUGGAAAGUUUCGGCGGUUGGGGAUGGACUCGCGGCUUAUCAGCUUGUUGGUGGGGUAGUGGCUUACCAAGGCUUUGACGGGUAGCCGGCCUGAGAGGGUGACCGGCCACAUUGGGACUGAGAUACGGCCCAGACUCCUACGGGAGGCAGCAGUGGGGAAUAUUGCACAAUGGGCGGAAGCCUGAUGCAGCAACGCCGCGUGCGGGAUGACGGCCUUCGGGUUGUAAACCGCUUUCGCCUGUGACGAAGCGUGAGUGACGGUAAUGGGUAAAGAAGCACCGGCUAACUACGUGCCAGCAGCCGCGGUGAUACGUAGGGUGCGAGCGUUGUCCGGAUUUAUUGGGCGUAAAGGGCUCGUAGGUGGUUGAUCGCGUCGGAAGUGUAAUCUUGGGGCUUAACCCUGAGCGUGCUUUCGAUACGGGUUGACUUGAGGAAGGUAGGGGAGAAUGGAAUUCCUGGUGGAGCGGUGGAAUGCGCAGAUAUCAGGAGGAACACCAGUGGCGAAGGCGGUUCUCUGGGCCUUUCCUGACGCUGAGGAGCGAAAGCGUGGGGAGCGAACAGGCUUAGAUACCCUGGUAGUCCACGCUGUAAACGGCGGGUACUAGGUGUGGGGUCCAUUCCACGGGUUCCGUGCCGUAGCUAACGCUUUAAGUACCCCGCCUGGGGAGUACGGCCGCAAGGCUAAAACUCAAAGGAAUUGACGGGGCCCCGCACAAGCGGCGGAGCAUGCGGAUUAAUUCGAUGCAACGCGUAGAACCUUACCUGGGUUUGACAUGGAUCGGGAGUGCUCAGAGAUGGGUGUGCCUCUUUUGGGGUCGGUUCACAGGUGGUGCAUGGCUGUCGUCAGCUCGUGUCGUGAGAUGUUGGGUUAAGUCCCGCAACGAGCGCAACCCUUGUUCACUGUUGCCAGCACGUUAUGGUGGGGACUCAGUGGAGACCGCCGGGGUCAACUCGGAGGAGGGUGGGGAUGACGUCAAGUCAUCAUGCCCCUUAUGUCCAGGGCUUCACGCAUGCUACAAUGGCUGGUACAGAGAGUGGCGAGCCUGUGAGGGUGAGCGAAUCUCGGAAAGCCGGUCUCAGUUCGGAUUGGGGUCUGCAACUCGACCUCAUGAAGUCGGAGCCGCUAGUAAUCGCAGAUCAGCAACGCUGCGGUGAAUACGUUCCCGGGGCU